CCCGCUCAGGACGAACGCUGGCGGCAUGCCUAAUACAUGCAAGUCGAGCGGACUUGCAAGAGAAGCUUGCUUCUCUGACGGUUAGCGGCGGACGGGUGAGUAACACGUAGGCAACCUGCCCUCAAGCUUGGGACAACUACCGGAAACGGUAGCUAAUACCGAAUACUUGUUUUCUUCGCCUGAAGGAAACUGGAAAGACGGAGCAAUCUGUCACUUGGGGAUGGGCCUGCGGCGCAUUAGCUAGUUGGUGAGGUAACGGCUCACCAAGGCGACGAUGCGUAGCCGACCUGAGAGGGUGAUCGGCCACACUGGGACUGAGACACGGCCCAGACUCCUACGGGAGGCAGCAGUAGGGAAUCUUCCGCAAUGGGCGAAAGCCUGACGGAGCAAUGCCGCGUGAGUGAUGAAGGUUUUCGGAUCGUAAAGCUCUGUUGCCAGGGAAGAACGCUUGGGAGAGUAACUGCUCUCAAGGUGACGGUACCUGAGAAGAAAGCCCCGGCUAACUACGUGCCAGCAGCCGCGGUAAUACGUAGGGGGCAAGCGUUGUCCGGAAUUAUUGGGCGUAAAGCGCGCGCAGGCGGUCAUGUAAGUCUGGUGUUUAAUCCCGGGGCUCAACCCCGGAUCGCACUGGAAACUGCGUGACUUGAGUGCAGAAGAGGAGAGUGGAAUUCCACGUGUAGCGGUGAAAUGCGUAGAGAUGUGGAGGAACACCAGUGGCGAAGGCGACUCUCUGGGCUGUAACUGACGCUGAGGCGCGAAAGCGUG
rnacentral:rRNA from 1 species